rnacentral:rRNA from 1 species
GAUGAACGCUGGCGGCAUGCCUAAGACAUGCAAGUCGAACGAGAUGGCCCACAGAUUCAGAAGGAAGAUAGAGUGCUUGCACGAAGUUAGAAUUUUGAUGACGUGGAAAUUCCAUCUAGUGGCAAACGGGUGAAUAACACGUGGGUAACCUACCUCUAAGUUGGGGAUAACAGUUGGAAACGACUGAUAGUACCGAAUAAGCUCUACGGAGUAAAGAAGCAAACAAGCUUCGCUAAGAGAUGGGCCUGCGGCGUAUUAGCUAGUUGGUAGGGUAAGAGCCUACCAAGGCGACGAUGCGUAGCCGAACUGAGAGGUUGAUCGGCCACACUGGGACUGAGACACGGCCCAGACUCCUACGGGAGACAGCAGUUAGGAAUAUUCGUCAAUGGGGGAAACCCUGAACGAGCAAUGCCGCGUGAAUGAAGAAGGCCCUAUGGGUUGUAAAAUUCUGUUGUAUGGAAAGAAAUGUAAAGUUAGGAAAUGAACUUUACUUGACGGUACCAUUCAAGAAAGCCACGGCUAACUACGUGCCAGCAGCCGCGGUAAUACGUAGGUGGCGAGCGUUAUCCGGAUUUAUUGGGCGUAAAGGGUGCGUAGGCGGUAUGUUAAGUAUAAAAUAAAAGCCCGAAGCUUAACUUCGGUUCGUUUUAUAAACUGGCAAACUAGAGUACGGUAGAGGCAAAUGGAAUUCCUAGUGUAGUGGUAAAAUGCGUAGAUAUUAGGAGGAACACCAGUGGCGAAGGCGAUUUGCUGGGCUGUAACUGACGCUGAGGCACGAAAGCGUGGGGAGCAAAUAGGAUUAGAUACCCUAGUAGUCCACGCCGUAAACGAUGAGUACUAAGUGUCGGGAAACCGGUGCUGAAGUUAACACAUUAAGUACUCCGCCUGAGUAGUACGGUCGCAAGGCUGCAACUCAAAUGAAUUGACGG